rnacentral:rRNA from 1 species
ACGGGGUAGGAUCGCGUAGGUGACGUACCCUCAGGGCGAGGAUAGCCACGGGAAACUGUGGGUAAUACUCGAUAACCUUCUCGAAUGUGAUGGUUUGAGAAGCAAUGGGUGUGAUUCCACCUGAGGAGCGGCUUACGCAGUAUCAGCUAGUUGGUGAGGUAACGGCUCACCAAGGCUUUGACGCUUAGGGGGUGUGAGAGCAUGGCCCCCACCACUGGCACUGAGACACUGGCCAGACACCUACGGGUGGCUGCAGUCGAGAAUCUUCGGCAAUGGACGAAAGUCUGACCGAGCGACGCCGCGUGCGGGAUGAAGGUCUUCGGAUUGUAAACCGCUGUCAGAGGGGAUGAAGUAUACGAGAGCUAUCUCUUGUAUUUGACAGAGCCUCAGAGGAAGCACGGGCUAAGUUCGUGCCAGCAGCCGCGGUAAUACGAACUGUGCGAACGUUAUUCGGAAUCACUGGGCUUAAAGGGUGCGUAGGCGGUUUUCUAAGUCACGUGUGAAAUCUUCCGGCUCAACCGGAAAACUGCGCGUGAUACUGGAUAACUUGAGUGAGGUAGGGGUGUGUGGAACUUCCGGUGGAGCGGUGAA